CGAGACUGUGAAGUUAAGCAAAUCCCAAAAAUAACGUCUCAGUUCGGAUUGUAGUCUGCAACUCGACUACAUGAAGCUGGAAUCGCUAGUAAUCGCAGAUCAGAAUGCUGCAGUGAAUACGUUCCCGGGUCUUGUACACACCGCCCGUCACACCAUGGGAGCCGGUAAUACCCGAAGUCAGUAGUCCAACCUCGUGAGGACGCUGCCGAAGGUAGGAUUGGCGACUGGGGUGAAGUCGUAACAAGGUACC
rnacentral:rRNA from 1 species